AAACUACAAGGGGAGCCGAAGCUCCCCCAGAAGUAGUUGCAUGCUCUAUUUUUAUUAUUGAUUGCGGGCUUCUUGUUUUUGUUGAUCGCCCUCGCCAUGAAGCUUCACCUUCAUGACCCUCCCAAUCGGGAGCCAAGAGCAAACGGAUUGCUUUGGUCGCUGUGUUGCUGAUCUACGAUCCAACCAGUUCAGGCUCUGCCUUAGGGCAGUU
rnacentral:sRNA from 1 species